UUGUUUUAGUUCGAGGUUCAGGAAGCUGGCGACCCAGGGAGGAGAGGUCUUGUUCUAGAUUGAUUUUUGUGGAGCUGAAGACCCAGGCAGGAGCAACGUUGUUGCAAUUCGAGGAUCCGGAAGCUGGAGACUCAGGGAGGAGACGUCUUGUUCGAGUUUGAGUGUCGUGGAGCUGCCGACCCAGGGAGGAGCAAUUUUGUUGUGGUUCGAGGGUCAGGAAGCUGGCAACUCAGGUAGGAGAAGUUUUGUUCUAGUUUCAGGGUUGUGGAGCUGCAGAUCCAGGGAGGAGCAAGGUUGUUGUAAUUCGAGGGUCAGGAAGCUAAGCGACCCAGGGAGGAGCCAGUGUUGCUGUUGUUGUUGGAGGAUUGUGGAGCUGGAGGCCGAAGAGAAGCUGGUGUUGCAGUUCAAGUUUGACAGUAGUGUAGCUGGAGACCUAGGGAGGAGCUGGUGCUACCACUGUCUUCCUGAGGUCUCCCCAGGAGCAGAUGCUGGUGCCAUGCUUGUACAGCCUGCAGAACUGUGAGCCAAUUAAACCUCUCUUCUAUAAAUAACCAGCCUCAGGUAUUCCAUUAUAGCAACGCAGAUGGACUGACCCAUAUCUUUAAUGUCAUUUCUUAGUUGUUCCAUCCUUUGACCUGCUUCCUGGAAUAAGUGUAUGAUGGCUGGAGCUAUUCUUGUCACCUUGAACCUUGAGGAUUAGGCUUCUACCCUGUGGAUAGCAGAAUGUCCUCUGGAAGGAAAUGAAUGUCCCUAACGCCACUCUAGACUGACAACCUCCAGUUUUGUUUUUACUUUUUUAUUUUUUGAGACAGACUCUUGCCCUGUUGCCCAGGCUGGAAUGCAAUGGCGUGAUCUCAGCUCACUGCAACUUCCGCUUCCUGGGUUCAAGUGAUUCUCAUGCCUCAGCCUCCCGAAUAGCUGGGAUUACGGGUGCGUGCCACCAUAUUCAGCUAACUUUUUUAUUUUUAGUAGAGACAGGGUUUCACCAUGUUGAGCAGGCUAGUCUCGAACUCAUGACCUCAAGUGAAACACUCGCCUCAGCCUCCCAAAGUGCUGGGAUUACAGGCGUGAGCCUCUGUGCCCGGCCCAGUCUUGGUUUUUAUGAGAUAAACUUCUAUCUUGGCUGAAGUUAAAUCACUGAUAGGUGAUAUAACCAUAACUGGAUAAAAAGUAGGAAAUUCAUGUAAUACUUAUAUCUACAUAUGCCCAUACCAAAAAUGAUAGUGAUCUGUUGGUUAUCUAUGUGUAAAUAUGGACACAAAAUAUUGUUUAGUGUAAACAAAGCUCUUUUUUUGUUGUUUUUUGAGACAGAGUCUCACUCUGUUGUGCAGGCUGGAGUGCAAUGGUGAGAUCUCGGCUCACUGCAAACUCCACCUCCUGGGUUCAAGCAAUUCUCCUGCCUCAGCCUUCCGAGUAGCUGAGAUUACAGGCACACGCACCACAUCCAGCUAUUUUUUGUAUUUUUAGUAGAGCUGGGGUUUCACCAUGUUGUCCAAGCUGGUCUCAAACUCCUGACCUUCAGUGAUCCGCCUGUGAUUACAGGCAUGAGCCACUGCACCUGGCCCAUAAAGCUUUAUUCUACUUUAAUGAAGCAAAAAUGCAUAAGUGUGUAAGUGUGAUCAUAUGUGUGUGUAUGUCUAACAGGAGCACUACAUAGCAAAAUGCAAAUGCUGCUUAUCUUUGGUGUUGGAAUCACGUGUGAUUUAAAAUCUUGUUUUCUUCUAUUUUUAAAAACUUUCAAAAUGAGACAUGACUUUGAUUAUUAGAAAAGAAAUCUAUAACAAUUGAGAGGAAAGAAAACCCCACCUGUUGUUGAAACUGGCUGGAGCUGGGAGAAAUGAGGGAUUCCUUUGAAGGUGUCACCUCCCUACCAGAAAAGUGGCCUUGCAGGACUGUCCCACAAGCUAGACGUGCCUCUUUCCCCC
ensembl:lincRNA